UUGGAGGUAAGCCUCCUCCCCUUCCUCUCUUCUCCCCUUUCCUUUUCAUGCCGGUGUGCAUGCUCAUCGGUGACCGGAGUCGUUGGAUUUUGUUGCAGAAGAACCUCUGUUUUUGCCCAUUUUUCUUCAAUUUUUUUCGACGCCGGUGGUCACUGCCAACCACCGGUUUGGCCCUCCUCUCAUCAUCGAGUCGCCCCCCUCCUGCCGACGAUCGCCCCAUGCUGGCAGCACUGUCGGUCAGAACUCCA
rnacentral:lncRNA from 1 species